GUAGCAAUACUUUGGUGGCGACCGGCGCACGGGUGAGUAACGCGUAUGCAACCUACCUAUCAGAGGGGAAUAACCCGGCGAAAGUCGGACUAAUACCGCAUAAAACAGGGACACCGCAUGGUGAUAUUUGUUAAAGAAAUUCGCUGAUAGAUGGGCAUGCGUUCCAUUAGGUAGUUGGUGAGGUAACGGCUCACCAAGCCGACGAUGGAUAGGGGAACUGAGAGGUUGGUCCCCCACACUGGUACUGAGACACGGACCAGACUCCUACGGGAGGCAGCAGUGAGGAAUAUUGGUCAAUGGGCGAGAGCCUGAACCAGCCAAGUCGCGUGAAGGAAGAAGGAUCUAUGGUUCGUAAACUUCUUUUGCAGGGGAAUAAAGUGCAGGACGUGUCCUGUUUUGUAUGUACCCUGAGAAUAAGGAUCGGCUAACUCCGUGCCAGCAGCCGCGGUAAUACGGAGGAUCCGAGCGUUAUCCGGAUUUAUUGGGUUUAAAGGGUGCGUAGGUGGUUUGAUAAGUCAGCGGUGAAAGUUUGCAGCUUAACUGUAAAAAUGCCGUUGAAACUGUCGGACUUGAGUGUAAAUGAGGUAGGCGGAAUGCGUGGUGUAGCGGUGAAAUGCAUAGAUAUCACGCAGAACUCCGAUUGCGAAGGCAGCUUACUAAGCUACAACUGACACUGAAGCACGAAAGCGUGGGGAUCAAACAGGAUUAGAUACCCUGGUAGUCCACGCAGUAAACGAUGAUUACUAGCUGUUUGCGAUACACAGUAAGCGGCACAGCGAAAGCGUUAAGUAAUCCACCUG
rnacentral:rRNA from 1 species